rnacentral:rRNA from 1 species
CCUACGGGUGACAGCAGUGGGGGAUAUUGCACAAUGGGCGCAAGCCUGACCCAGCAACGCCGCGUGAAGGAAGAAGGCUUUCGGGUUGUACACUUCUUUUGUCAGGGAAGAGUAGAAGACGGUACCUGACGAAUAAGCCACGGCUAACUACGUGCCAGCAGCCGCGGUAAUACGUAGGUGGCAAGCGUUGUCCGGAUUUACUGGGUGUAAAGGGCGUGUAGCCGGGUUGACAAGUCAGAUGUGAAAUCCUGCGGCUUAACCGCAGAACUGCAUUUGAAACUGUUGAUCUUGAGUACUGGAGAGGCAGACGGAAUUCCUAGUGUAGCGGUGAAAUGCGUAGAUAUUAGGAGGAACAGCAGUGGCGAAGGCGGUCUGCUGGACAGCAACUGACGGUGAGGCGCGAAAGCGUGGGGAGCAAACAGGAUUAGAUACCCUUGUAGUC